CACCGACUGCGGGACACAGUUGCAAGCGCAAUAUGCGACUUUGCCGCCUCUGUGCAAGAUCACAUGAGCUUCGGUGCACCGCAAAAUCUUUACAUGAUACGGCACAUUAUCACUCAAGGAAUGCCAGGUAUUGAUAUUACAGGCCCCAUAUGCUCCAUUGUGCACCCGAUCGGAUUCCUCAGGUGAUGAUGAGCUCAUGAAAAGGAGCUCUUUUGUCGACAUCAGCGCAUAUCUUGAGAGCUGUGGUGCUCGUUUCAUGUAAGCAAGCUUGCCAGUAGAAAACAGUGCACAUGAGCUGCAGUUUUACACCGCUCUCCGAACAGUUGCAAUCGAAAAGAACGCUUGUGUCCUUCGAUAUAUACCAGCGGCGGAGCCAUCGUCGAGAUUUCGAAGGUCCUCCGAAGGCCAAAGCGUGAAGGCCACUGAUGAUACUUCUGCAGCUCUCCCCUAUGCGUUUCACCGUCGCAAAUCUAUUCUUGUGCUCACGAGCCAUGCCAAGGAAAUUCUGUACGGUGCCGUACUUGCCGAAUCGCCGAUCGUCUACGUCGGAGGCAGCCGCUUCUCUUCCUUGCCGUUGUGGAGCGCUGGCAUCGGGGCAUGCGCACCUACUCCUCUUACUGCUGAGGUCGUAUAAGCUGUUCGCUCUGCUUACAAUAAGUCAGCUGUGCGUGAACGGAUGCGAGCUUCAUGACGAAUGAGCUUUCUCAUGGGUGUUGCUCAGACCGCUAGAGGUUUCUGAGCUCGCGGCUGCUGUGGGAGUCGGCAGCAUGGACUUUGUGUGAUUGAAACAUCCUUCUCUCGCCUUAUGGCCACGACGCGGUUAUUUCUGUGUCGACGACUUUUCCGCUAGGCUUUUUGUUGUGUUUGAGUCUUUAUUGCUACCAGCUUCCUUUGAAACGGCAGGUGGUGAGGGAUGGGCAUAACAGAGCAAACUUGCUGCAAAGCAUGCUGUUUUCUGCACAGAUUUAUCGACAGCUGCUGUGAGGUGGCCCUCAAAGCUACUUUUUCGUUCCAUCUGUAUCGUCGAUUUUCCCCAUUAAGAUGAACACAUAUUGAUGUCUACCUGCUGGAAGUGCUGAAACAGCUUGACAGUGUGGCUGCUCUUCUUUGGAGUGUCUACCUCGCUUCACACAAGCGUCUCAAUGGGCUCUCUGCUUGCAUCUCCAUCCCUUUUGUACUCUUUUCUCUUUAUCACAUAUUUGUCUACGUACUCCUAUGCUAUUGCGUUUCCUUUCAUGAAUCUUUUCAG
rnacentral:misc_RNA from 1 species